rnacentral:rRNA from 1 species
GACGAACGCUGGCGGCGUGCUUAACACAUGCAAGUCGAACGGAAAGGCCCUGCUUUUGUGGGGUGCUCGAGUGGCGAAAGGGUGAGUAACACGUGAGUAACCUGCCCUUGACUUUGGGAUAACUUCAGGAAACUGGGGCUAAUACCGGAUAGGAGCUCCUGCUGCAUGGUGGGGGUUGGAAAGUUUCGGCGGUUGGGGAUGGACUCGCGGCUUAUCAGCUUGUUGGUGGGGUAGUGGCUUACCAAGGCUUUGACGGGUAGCCGGCCUGAGAGGGUGACCGGCCACAUUGGGACUGAGAUACGGCCCAGACUCCUACGGGAGGCAGCAGUGGGGAAUAUUGCACAAUGGGCGGAAGCCUGAUGCAGCAACGCCGCGUGCGGGAUGACGGCCUUCGGGUUGUAACCCGCUUUCGCCUGUGACGAAGCGUGAGUGACGGUAAUGGGUAAAGAAGCACCGGCUAACUACGCG